AGAUUGGAGACUACAUAAGACUUUGACAGAUGGCGGGAAACCCUCAUGAACUGGAUAGAAGCCGGUAGAAGAAUGUCUGCGACUAAGCCGAGGGCCACUUGAUAAGGGUUGUUGAUGGUAAAACAGGUAGAAGAAUGUCUGCGACUAAGCCGAGGGCCACUUGAUAAGGGUUGUUGAUGGUAAAACAGGUAGAAGAAUGUCUGCGACUAAGCCGAGGGCCACUUGAUAAGGGUUGUUGAUGGUAAAACAGGUA